GAUGAAGAACGCAUCGAAAUGCGAUAAGUAAUGUGAAUUGCAGAAUUCAGUGAAUCAUCGAGUCUUUGAACGCACAUUGCGCCCCCUGGUAUUCCGGGGGGCAUGCCUGUCCGAGCGUCAUUGCUGCCCUCAAGCACGGCUUGUGUGUUGGGCCCCGCCCCCCGGCUCCCGGGGGGCGGGCCCGAAAGGCAGCGGCGGCACCGCGUCCGGUCCUCGAGCGUAUGGGGCUUCGUCACCCGCUCCGUAGGCCCGGCCGGAGCCCGCCGGCGACCCCCCUCAAUCUUUUCAGGUUGACCUCGGAUCAGGUAGGGAUACCCGCUGAACUUAAGCAUAUCAAUAAGCGGAGGA
rnacentral:misc_RNA from 1 species